AACACAUGCAAGUCGAACGGACCCUUCGGGGUAGUGGCGGACGGGUGAGUAACACGUGGGAACGUGCCCUUUGGUUCGGAACAACUCAGGGAAACUUGAGCUAAUACCGAAUGUGCCCUUCGGGGGAAAGAUUUAUCGCCAUUAGAGCGGCCCGCGUCUGAUUAGCUUGUUGGUGAGGUAAUGGCUCACCAAGGCUACGAUCAGUAGCUGGUCUGAGAGGAUGAUCAGCCACAUUGGGACUGAGACACGGCCCAAACUCCUACGGGAGGCAGCAGUGGGGAAUCUUGCGCAAUGGGCGAAAGCCUGACGCAGCCAUGCCGCGUGAAUGAUGAAGGUCUUAGGAUUGUAAAAUUCUUUCACCGGGGACGAUAAUGACGGUACCCGGAGAAGAAGCCCCGG
rnacentral:rRNA from 1 species